UUAAUGAGAGUUUGAUCCUGGCUCAGGACGAACGCUGGCGGCGUGCCUAAUACAUGCAAGUAGAACGCUGAAGAGAGGAGCUUGCUCUUCUUGGAUGAGUUGCGAACGGGUGAGUAACGCGUAGGUAACCUGCCUUGUAGCGGGGGAUAACUAUUGGAAACGAUAGCUAAUACCGCAUAACAAUGGAUGACACAUGUCAUUUAUUUGAAAGGGGCAAUUGCUCCACUACAAGAUGGACCUGCGUUGUAUUAGCUAGUAGGUGAGGUAACGGCUCACCUAGGCGACGAUACAUAGCCGACCUGAGAGGGUGAUCGGCCACACUGGGACUGAGACACGGCCCAGACUCCUACGGGAGGCAGCAGUAGGGAAUCUUCGGCAAUGGGGGCAACCCUGACCGAGCAACGCCGCGUGAGUGAAGAAGGUUUUCGGAUCGUAAAGCUCUGUUGUAAGUCAAGAACGAGUGUGAGAGUGGAAAGUUCACACUGUGACGGUAGCUUACCAGAAAGGGACGGCUAACUACGUGCCAGCAGCCGCGGUAAUACGUAGGUCCCGAGCGUUGUCCGGAUUUAUUGGGCGUAAAGCGAGCGCAGGCGGUUUGAUAAGUCUGAAGUUAAAGGCUGUGGCUCAACCAUAGUUCGCUUUGGAAACUGUCAAACUUGAGUGCAGAAGGGGAGAGUGGAAUUCCAUGUGUAGCGGUGAAAUGCGUAGAUAUAUGGAGGAACACCGGUGGCGAAAGCGGCUCUCUGGUCUGUAACUGACGCUGAGGCUCGAAAGCGUGGGGAGCGAACAGGAUUAGAUACCCUGGUAGUCCACGCCGUAAACGAUGAGUGCUAGGUGUUGGAUCCUUUCCGGGAUUCAGUGCCGCAGCUAACGCAUUAAGCACUCCGCCUGGGGAGUACGACCGCAAGGUUGAAACUCAAAGGAAUUGACGGGGGCCCGCACAAGCGGUGGAGCAUGUGGUUUAAUUCGAAGCAACGCGAAGAACCUUACCAGGUCUUGACAUCCCGAUGCUAUUUCUAGAGAUAGAAAGUUACUUCGGUACAUCGGUGACAGGUGGUGCAUGGUUGUCGUCAGCUCGUGUCGUGAGAUGUUGGGUUAAGUCCCGCAACGAGCGCAACCCCUAUUGUUAGUUGCCAUCAUUCAGUUGGGCACUCUAGCGAGACUGCCGGUAAUAAACCGGAGGAAGGUGGGGAUGACGUCAAAUCAUCAUGCCCCUUAUGACCUGGGCUACACACGUGCUACAAUGGUUGGUACAACGAGUUGCGAGUCGGUGACGGCAAGCUAAUCUCUUAAAGCCAAUCUCAGUUCGGAUUGUAGGCUGCAACUCGCCUACAUGAAGUCGGAAUCGCUAGUAAUCGCGGAUCAGCACGCCGCGGUGAAUACGUUCCCGGGCCUUGUACACACCGCCCGUCACACCACGAGAGUUUGUAACACCCGAAGUCGGUGAGGUAACCUUUUGGAGCCAGCCGCCUAAGGUGGGAUAGAUGAUUGGGGUGAAGUCGUAACAAGGUAGCCGUAUCGGAAGGUGCGGCUGGAUCACCUCCUUUCUAAGGAA
rnacentral:rRNA from 7 species